rnacentral:rRNA from 1 species
CGCUAGCUACAGGCUUAACACAUGCAAGUCGAGGGGCAGCAUUUUAGUUUGCUUGCAAACUGAAGAUGGCGACCGGCGCACGGGUGAGUAACACGUAUCCAACCUGCCGAUAACUCCGGGAUAGCCUUUCGAAAGAAAGAUUAAUACCGGAUAGCAUACGAAUAUCGCAUGAUAUUUUUAUUAAAGAAUUUCGGUUAUCGAUGGGGAUGCGUUCCAUUAGUUUGUUGGCGGGGUAACGGCCCACCAAGACUACGAUGGAUAGGGGUUCUGAGAGGAAGGUCCCCCACAUUGGAACUGAGACACGGUCCAAACUCCUACGGGAGGCAGCAGUGAGGAAUAUUGGUCAAUGGGCGAGAGCCUGAACCAGCCAAGUAGCGUGAAGGAUGAAGGCUCUAUGGGUCGUAAACUUCUUUUAUAUGGGAAUAAAGUUUUCCACGUGUGGAAUUUUGUAUGUACCAUAUGAAUAAGGAUCGGCUAACUCCGUGCCAGCAGCCGCGGUAAUACGGAGGAUCCGAGCGUUAUCCGGAUUUAUUGGGUUUAAAGGGAGCGUAGGUGGAUUGUUAAGUCAGUUGUGAAAGUUUGCGGCUCAACCGUAAAAUUGCAGUUGAAACUGGCAGUCUUGAGUACAGUAGAGGUGGGCGGAAUUCGUGGUGUAGCGGUGAAAUGCUUAGAUAUCACGAAGAACUCCGAUUGCGAAGGCAGCUCACUAGACUGUCACUGACACUGAUGCUCGAAAGUGUGGGUAUCAAACAGGAUUAGAUACCCUGGUAGUCCACACAGUAAACGAUGAAUACUCGCUGUUUGCGAUAUACAGUAAGCGGCCAAGCGAAAGCAUUAAGUAUUCCACCUGGGGAGUACGCCGGCAACGGUGAAACUCAAAGGAAUUGACGGGGGCCCGCACAAGCGGAGGAACAUGUGGUUUAAUUCGAUGAUACGCGAGGAACCUUACCCGGGCUUAAAUUGCAACAGAAUAUAUUGGAAACAGUAUAGCCGUAAGGCUGUUGUGAAGGUGCUGCAUGGUUGUCGUCAGCUCGUGCCGUGAGGUGUCGGCUUAAGUGCCAUAACGAGCGCAACCCUUAUCUUUAGUUACUAACAGGUUAUGCUGAGGACUCUAGAGAGACUGCCGUCGUAAGAUGUGAGGAAGGUGGGGAUGACGUCAAAUCAGCACGGCCCUUACGUCCGGGGCUACACACGUGUUACAAUGGGGGGUACAGAAGGCGGCUACCUGGUGACAGGAUGCUAAUCCCAAAAACCUCUCUCAGUUCGGAUCGAAGUCUGCAACCCGACUUCGUGAAGCUGGAUUCGCUAGUAAUCGCGCAUCAGCCAUGGCGCGGUGAAUACGUUCCCGGGCCUUGUACACACCGCCCGUCAGGCCAUGAAAGCCGGGGGUACCUGAAGUACGUAACCGCAAGGAGCGUCCUAGGGUAAAACUGGUAAUUGGG